rnacentral:rRNA from 1 species
UACGGAGGGUGCAAGCGUUAAUCGGAAUUACUGGGCGUAAAGCGCACGCAGGCGGUUUGUUAAGCUAGAUGUGAAAGCCCUGGGCUCAACCUGGGACGGUCAUUUAGAACUGGCAGACUAGAGUCUUGGAGAGGGGAGUGGAAUUCCAGGUGUAGCGGUGAAAUGCGUAGAUAUCUGGAGGAACAUCAGUGGCGAAGGCGACUCCCUGGCCAAAGACUGACGCUCAUGUGCGAAAGUGUGGGUAG